AAACUUACCUGGCUGGGAUCUCGCCGCGAUCAAGAAGGCGGGGAAUCCAUGGCGAGGCUGGGACAUUGCACUUCCGCUCCCGGCUGACCCGUGUGGCAGCUCCGAGUUGGAGUUGGCCAACAGCUAAAUUUUUGAGUGAGGGGACAGCGUUCGCGCUUCCCCGAA
rnacentral:snRNA from 12 species